GGAUCAUUAAUGAGUUAGGGUCUUCUAGGCCCGACCUCCCAACCCUUUGUUUACUAGACCUCAGUUGCUUCGGCAGGCCCGUCUUAAUCUGACCGCCGGAGGACCGCCUAAUACGGGUGUUGCCUCUGGCCAGUGUCUGCCGAUAGCCUCAUCUCCUAAUUCUGGAUCAAUCAUGAUUUACAAUGUCUAAGUGAUUUUAUUCAAUUAAAGCAAAAACUUUCAACAACGGAUCUCUUGGUUCUGGCAUCGAUGAAGAACGCAGCGAAAUGCGAUAAGUAAUGCGAAUUGCAGAAUUCCCAGUGAGUCAUCGAAUCUUUGAACGCACAUUGCGCCCUUUGGUAUUCCGAAGGGCAUGCCUGUUCGAGCGUCAUUAUCACCCCUCAAGCCCCCGGCUUGGUGUUGGACGGUUUGGUGGAGGCCCCCUCGCGGGGCCACCGCCCCUCCCAAAGACAAUGACGGCGGCCUCGUUGGACCCCCGGUACACUGAGUUCUUCACGGGACACGUAUCGGACACAUGGGUUUACGGGACACGGUCUGCCUCCCCUCAGGGAGAAUCUUUCUAAGGUUGACCUCGGAUCAGGUAGGGAUACCCGCUGAACUUAAGCAUAUCAAUAAGCGGAGGAAAAGAAACCAACAGGGAUUGCCUCAGUAACGGCGAGUGAAGCGGCAACAGCUCAAAUUUGAAAUCUGGCCUCUUUGGGGUCCGAGUUGUAAUUUGUAGAGGAUGUUUCGGGUACCGCCUCGGUUUAAAUUUCUUGGAACAGAAUGUCAAAGAGGGUGAGAAUCCCGUCUUGGACCGGCGGUAGGGCCCAUGUGAAACUCCUUCGACGAGUCGAGUUGUUUGGGAAUGCAGCUCAAAAUGGGUGGUAAAUUUCAUCUAAAGCUAAAUAUUGGCCAGAGACCGAUAGCGCACAAGUAGAGUGAUCGAAAGAUGAAAAGCACUUUGAAAAGAGAGUUAAACAGUAUGUGAAAUUGUUGAAAGGGAAGCGCUUACAACCAGACUUGCGCGCGGCGGUUCCCCCUUCCUUUUGGUUGGGCUACUCCGUCGUGUCCAGGCCAACAUCGGUUCUGGGGGUCGGUUAAAGACCCUGGGAAUGUAUCUACCCUUCGGGCGUAGACUUAUAGCCCAGGGUGUCAUGCGGCCUCCCGGGACCGAGGAACGCGCUUCGGCUCGGAUGUUGGCGUAAUGGUUGUCAGCGACCCGUCUUGAAACACGGACCAAGGAGUCUAACAUCUAUGCGAGUGUUUGGGUGUCAAACCCGGAACGCGAAAUGAAAGUGAACGGAGGUAGGAAGCCUUGAGGCUGCACUAUCGACCGAUCCUGAUGUCUUCGGAUGGAUUUGAGUAAGAGCAUAGCUGUUGGGACCCGAAAGAUGGUGAACUAUGCCUGAAUAGGGUGAAGCCAGAGGAAACUCUGGUGGAGGCUCGCAGCGGUUCUGACGUGCAAAUCGAUCGUCAAAUUUGGGUAUAGGGGCGAAAGACUAAUCGAACCAU
rnacentral:rRNA from 1 species